CCUGGCGACUAUAGCGAUUUGGAACCACCUGAUACCAUCUCGAACUCAGAAGUGAAACAUUUCCGCGCCAAUGAUAGUGUGAGGCUUCCUCGUGCGAAAGUAGGUCAUCGCCAGGG
rnacentral:rRNA from 3 species